AUUGAACGCUGGCGGCAGGCCUAACACAUGCAAGUCGAGCGAGCGGCGGACGGGUGAGUAAUGUCUGGGAAACUGCCUGAUGGAGGGGGAUAACUACUGGAAACGGUAGCUAAUACCGCAUACCAUCAGAUGUGCCCAGAUGGGAGUAGCUAGGAGGUGGGGUAACGGCUCACCUAGGCGACGAUACCUAGCUGGUCUGCGAGGAUGACAAGCCAAACUGGAACUGAGACACGGUGCAGACUGAUACGGGAGGCAGCAGUGGGGAAGAUUGCACAAUGGGCGAAAGCCGGAUGCAGCCAGGCCGCGUGUGUGAAGAAGGCCUUCGGGUUGUAAAGCACGUUCAGCGGGGAGGCGUGACCCGCAGAAGAAGCACCGGCUAACUCCGUGCCAGCAGCCGCGGUAAUAC
rnacentral:rRNA from 1 species